rnacentral:misc_RNA from 1 species
GAUGAAGAACGUAGCAAAAUGCGAUACUUGGUGUGAAUUGCAGAAUCCCGUGAACCAUCGAGUUUUUGAACGCAAGUUGCGCCCGAAGCCUUUUGGCCGAGGGCACGUCUGCCUGGGCGUCACGCAUCGCGUCGCCCCCCACAAUUCUCCGUAAAGGGAGCAUGUGUUUUGGGGGCGGAUACUGGUCUCCCGUGCUCAUGGCGCGGUUGGCCGAAAUAGGAGUCCCUUCGAUGGACGCACGAACUAGUGGUGGUCGUAAAAACCCUCGUCUUUUGUUUCGUGCCGUUAGUCGCGAGGGAAGCUCUUCAAAAACCCCAACGCGUCGUCUCUUGACGGCGCUUCGACCGCGACCCCAGGUCAGGCGGGACUACCCGCUGAGUUUAAGCAUAUCAAUAAGCGGAGGA